GGCGGAAAUCCACACGGAAAACCCCGUCAAAAUAGGCCCAUCCGCCGAGACGAUCAUGCAGGCGAGGCGACGACCACCCCCCACCCCCACGCCGCUGCCGCGUGCCGCCGCGCUUUUUAUACGAGUUCCAGCUCCGCCGCGAGUCCGCGACUGCUGCUGCUACUGCUACUACCCUAGCCUAGUAGUAGUACUACUACUGCUACUUCUUCCCCGGUCGCGGCCGCCUGCCUGCCUGACAUCGCUUCGCGUGCCAAAGCCGACGCGCGCAAAAGCAACCAAAAGCGAAAGCAAGACCACCGCCUGCUUGCUGCUCGGUCUCUCACUCUCACGGUCUCACCUCCUCCUCCUCCUCAAAGCCAGCCAUUCGUCUCCUCGUCUCGUUUCGUUUCGCUUCAUCUCGUCAUCGAUGCGCUCCCCUAGAAUGAGAGAAACCUAGGACUAGUACUGCGUCACCAUAGAAGGCGAAUCACUACUCUGCCCCGGAUCGACCACCCACGCCGCCGUGAUUGGGAGAGGAGACGGACGCGCAUGCCGCCGCAGCAGGGGGAGUGCUGCCGCCACGGCUGGCUCGGCGUGGGGGAGGCCGCGGUGGGCGGCGGCGGGGAGGAGCCGUUCUACGUGCCGCUGCGCAAGCGGCUGUCGGUGGACGGCAAGGCAUCCACGGCGCCGCGGAUAUGCAUCUGGGAGUGCGACGGCGAGGCCGGGGACAUCACCUGCGACAUCGUCGCCGCGCCGCUCCGCCGCAGCUGCAGCGCCAAGGCAAUGCCGCCGCCGGCCCCGCUCUUCCGGAUGAUGACGCCGCCGCCGCCGAGGCCGCAGAGAGGGGACGGGGAGGAGGCCAGGAGGCCCGGGGAGGCCAUCCGCAAGGGGCACCGGAGCUACAGCCUCAUGCUCAACCUGCAGCUUGGCAUAAGCUAUUCGGUGGGGAAGUCGUCGGCGCUGCCGUUCCAGAAGCUCGCCGCGUCGGACUUCGACCCGCGGGAGAAGGUAUGGACACGGUUCCCGCCGGAGGGGUCCAAGUUCACGCCGCCGCAUCACUCGGUGGAUUUCCGGUGGAAGGACUACUGCCCUGCCGUCUUCAGGCACCUGAGGAAGCUGUUCGGGGUGGACCCUGCGGAGUACAUGCUCGCCAUCUGCGGCAACGACACGCUCCGGGAGCUGGCGUCCCCGGGCAAGAGCGGGAGCUGCUUCUUCAUCACGCAGGACGAUCGGUUCAUGAUUAAAACCGUGAAAAAGUCCGAAGUGAAGGUUCUUAUCCGGAUGUUGCGGAGUUACUACGAACAUGUUCGUCAGUAUAAGUCCACUUUACUAACAAGGUUUUAUGGCACACAUUGCAUUAAGCAAGCUGGCUGCCCCAAGGUCCGGUUCAUUAUAAUGGGCAAUUUUUGCUGUUCGGAAUAUAAGAUCCAUAGGCGUUUUGAUCUGAAAGGUUCCUCACAUGGUCGGACUAUCGACAAAACAGAGCGCAAGAUUGAUGAAACCACUACUCUCAAGGACCUCGACCUUCAGUAUGCAUUUCGGUUGCAGAGAUUUUGGUACGAGGAGCUUAUGAAGCAAAUUCAGAUGGACUGCACAUUCUUGGAGACACAGGGCAUUAUGGACUAUAGCCUAUUGUUAGGAGUUCACUUUCGUAAUGAUUACUCAGUGUCUAAAAUAGGCAUAUCUCAGCACAUAGCUUUCCCAAAAUCUACUGGCAAAAGAAAAUCAUUUGAAGGUGGAAGCAGUUUUUGUGAGCUCUGCUUUGUGGAAUCAGGUUGCAAAGACAGAGAUUUGAUAGACUCUCGGAAGCCAUUCAUCCAGUUGGGAAUUAACAUGCCUGCCCAGGCAGAGCGCAGCUCAAAAAAAAUAUUAGAUAAUUUUCUCCUAAAUGAAAGACACUUGUUCAUAACCCCACCAAGUGGAGGAUCAUGUGAUGUCUACCUCUUCUUUGGGAUAAUCGACAUUCUUCAGGACUAUGAUAUAACGAAGAAAUUGGAACAUGCCUACAAGUCCUUCCAGGUCAACCCUGACUACAUUUCUGCUGUAGACCCAAAGCUAUACUCGAGAAGGUUUCAGGAUUUCAUCCGCAGGGUGUUCAUAAAAGAGCAGUAAGAAAAAGUCAUUGGGUUCAAUGGUAACUAUCCCACUGACUUCUUACAUCAUGAGAUCCAUUGGUGAAGUUUAGGCUAUGAUCGUAUUGCCAAUCCCGAGCAUGCCUGAAACAGUGAAAACCGCAAAUGAUGGUUGGUUUUACCAUACGCACAGUAUUCUGAAUAAUUGGGGUCAACGAGCUCCGCCGACACGCAUGCUAAUAUCGGAUGGAUGGGAGCUAAAACUAUGUAUAGCUCGGCCUUUUGGAAGACCUGUAAACCAUGACAAUUUCCUUGGCAGAGCUGUAUGGCUGGGUUUUCAAGUAAUGUCAUGUUCAUAGUUCAGAAAAGGAAAAGAAGUUGUUUGCUGUAGACAUUGUUGCCUUCUUUGCAAGCAUUUGCAGCUUAUCUUUCGCUCGUGCCUGCCUGGUGUGACCACAGUCGAGAGAAGGCAGUGUCAAUGUGUCACUUGUACAGUUGUAGUACUCCUCCACCAUUGGCCUUGUGAACUGAAGGUAGAAAUAAAGCGGAAGGGAGGCGACAGGCAUCAAAAGGAGAGAAAGCAGGUGCAGGGAAGAUGCUGGGACAGAUCUGGUCUGCUCCUGUGACUUGUGUCUAAACAUUUUUCUCUCCUGUCCUUCUCUCUGCAUUACCUGGCCUUUUCUCGGCUCUACUUUGUUUCCCAUGCCAAGGCCUCUAGUCCAUUUCUCCUUCUCCAUCCUGUGCUCUUUUUUUGCAUGCUUUGCUUUGCUUUGCUUUGGCCUGGAGUCAUGCAUGACUGGUAGGAGCAGACCAGGUGAGAAGAAAUUCAGAAAUUACGGGGCUGAAGUGUGAUGCAUGCUGCUUUCACGCAUGACUCAUCAGAUGCAGCAAUGCAUGACUGAUCUGACUCUAUUGUGGCUGUAAAAUAGGAUGGGUACUAAUUGGGUAAAUACUAAGGCUCUGUUUAGAUCUAAAGUUUGGAUCCAAACUUCA